UACAGAGGUCCCAAGCGUUGUUCGGAAUCACUGGGCGUAAAGGGUGCGUAGGCGGCGCGGAAAGUCAGGGGUGAAAUCCCGGAGCUCAACUCCGGAACUGCCUUUGAUACUCCCGCGCUUGAGAACUGGAGGGGAGACCGGGAAUUCACGGUGGAGCAGUGAAAUGCGUGGAUAUCGUGAGGAACACUAGUGGCGAAGGCGGGUCUCUGGACAGUAUCUGACGCUGGAGGCACGAAGGCCAGGGGAGCGAACGGG
rnacentral:rRNA from 1 species